rnacentral:rRNA from 1 species
AUUGAACGCUGGCGGCAGGCCUAACACAUGCCAGUCGAACGGUAACAGGGAUCAGCUUGCUGAUUCGCUGACGAGUGGCGGACGGGUGAGUAAUGUCUGGGAAACUGCCUGAUGGAGGGGGAUAACUACUGGAAACGGUAGCUAAUACCGCAUAACGUCGCAAGACCAAAGAGGGGGACCUUCGGGCCUCUUGCCAUCGGAUGUGCCCAGAUGGGAUUAGCUAGUAGGUGGGGUAACGGCUCACCUAGGCGACGAUCUCUAGCUGGUCUGAGAGGAUGACCAGCCACACUGGAACUGAGACACGGUCCAGACUCCUACGGGAGGCAGCAGUGGGGAAUAUUGCACAAUGGGCGCAAGCCUGAUGCAGCCAUGCCGCGUGUAUGAAGAAGGCCUUCGGGUUGUAAAGUACUUUCAGCGGGGAGGAAGGGAGUAAAGUUAAUACCUUUGCUCAUUGACGUUACCCGCAGAAGAAGCACCGGCUAACUCCGUG